rnacentral:rRNA from 1 species
UACGUAGGGUGCGAGCGUUGUCCGGAAUUAUUGGGCGUAAAGAGCUCGUAGGCGGUCUGUCGCGUCGAAUGUGAAAACCCGGGGCUCAACUCCGGGCUUGCAUUCGAUACGGGCAGGCUAGAGUUCGGUAGGGGAGUCUGGAAUUCCUGGUGUAGCGGUGAAAUGCGCAGAUAUCAGGAGGAACACCGGUGGCGAAGGCGGGUCUCUGGGCAACUACUGACGCUGAGGAGCGAAAGCGUGGGGAGCGAACAGG